UAUUGCUCGUGCGCGCAGUCGUGCACAAGUAACACACAAGAGACUGAAGGUGAUUCAAGGCCCGGAUUUUCUCAUGGCGAAGUUCUUUUUUUAAAAAAAAGUAAAAUAUUAAAUAUUAGAAGUAAAAAGAGGUUGGAAAUAUCUUUGCAGUGAUACACUGUUAACGAACGUGACGACAACGCCCACGCUACUAACUGGGAGCGACGGUUAGAUGAUUAUGUAAAUAUGAGCUGCGCGCGCUUUCCUUUCAAAAGCAAGAUAAACAUCAAUGAUAAACUCACAUAAAUGACAGCGGUGAGAAAGCAGCCGUUAAGAAAGCAUUGGGAUGUGGAUAUGUUUGCACCAGCUCUGCAAUUCAUGCCGACAGAUGAGCUUGACAUACCCUGCAUACUGUUUUCUUAUGGAAAAGAGCGUGAAUAAUCCUCAGAAUUUCUCCUUCUGUGUUUCAUGGAAAAAAGAAAGUCGCAGGGGUGUGAAACAACAUGAGGUUUUGCUACACAUUUCCGUCGGUCAUGGGGGACGCCACUUGGAGUUGCACAAAAAACGUCCGUCACGGAUUGUCUUCCUCCCAAAUUUGAAUUAGCGCCCUGAUUACACUGAGAGGGGUGAGCGAGACACAGAUGGAUUAUGGACGGGAUCUGUAACUGAUGCUGCUGCCAGCUUCAAAUGGAAAAGACAAACAGUUAGCUGGCAUUUCUCAUUCUUUCACACACACACUUUUGUAAUUAUCAUGUUUGUGUGGUUGGCCUGACUAAAUGUAUUCUCUGUUUCAAAAGAAUCAUCUUACAGAUCAAAACUUUUUACAUUUUUUGAAGAAAUUUUUGUGGUUUUAGUUCUGAGCGGUCACCAGGGGCAUUACUAGGUAGUUGUUAAAGUGUUCUCACUGGUUGCUAGAUUGUUGCAAGAGAACCCAUGGCCAAUUACCUAUUAUUUUCUGUCAAUCCUCUGCUUUGGGAUUUUAAUCAACAUAGGUGCACUUGGAAAAAAGUGCCUCUAUGUACAUUUUUGUGAAA